rnacentral:tRNA from 2 species
GGAGGCGUAGUCGAGAUGGUUAAGACACCAGCCUGUCACGCUGUGAGAUCGAGGGUUCGAAACCCUUCGCCUCCGCCA